CCUCCUUUAAAGAAACCGGAAUACGGGGUGAAAGCGCCCUCACAAUCUGCUUAGUCAUCGAUCAAGAUAAACCGCGGGUCUGUAGCUCAGUAGGUUAGAGCGCACCCCUGAUAAGGGUGAGGUCGGAAGUUCAACUCUUCCCAGACCCACCACCUUCGCGCUCGUAGGAGCAAAAAGGUACCAAGGGGCCAUAGCUCAGAUGGGAGAGCACCUGCUUUGCAAGCAGGGGGUCGGCGGUUCGAUCCCGCCUGGCUCCACCAGGCGAUAAACGGCGGCGGCAAAUUGCCCCCGCCGUUUUAUCUCCUGGCCGACUCGCCCACGGGAACGUUCUUUUACAAUUUAAGGUAGUAGUGAUGUACGAUGGUUGAAGUCCGGAACAGCGUUGGACGUUCUGACUUUUACUGGGGUAUUCCCACCAUUUUUAUGGUUAGUAGUUGGUGACCCUCAUUUAAAAACCAGUCCUUUUUUGGGGGUUUUUUUGAUCAAGCCAAUUAACCCCCCCCGGGGGGAUUGCCUUGGGCAAAGGGGCA
rnacentral:tRNA from 1 species